UAAUUUCUUCAUAUAUAUACAUGUCUAAAUUUUAACCCGACCAUCGGGCAGGUGAAUUUGUGAAUCUGGCAGUCCAUGUUGAAAAUGACCCGUCCCGGGCAGUUGGGCAGGCAGGUAUUUUGAACGCUGUUAUUACAUGAUUUUUGUUUAUAUAUCCCAUCCU